CUCUUUAUGACAAGUCCCUUGGUGUCACCAAGGCCAAAUAAGCCCUCAGUUUCACUUGCUCUUGGUUGACAUAGAAAAAUCUCAAGUUUUGAAGGUCAUGCAGCUAGCAACACAUUAUUAGUCUCCUGCCAGCUUUGCUGUGGAUGACACGUCUGCCAUGUGCAUUGUGAUGGCAUGGUUGCCUAGGUUACUCUUCAGAGUUUGGAAGGCCAUUUCUGAAAACACUGACCCCUUUGGGCCCCCAGUAUCUGAUGGCUGACAGGAAUGAGAGGAAAAGGCUUGGCUUCUCUGCCUUCAUGUUGUCUCUCCCCCUUUCUGGACUGACUCAGUUCAAGCUCCCUGAGGAGGGUCCUCAAAUCUCGAAACAUCAUUUCCAUCUUGUGAAGGAGACACUGCGUGACUGUCCACAUGGCCACCAGCACAGGUUACUUCUGGAAUGGCAGUUUCCAUUCUGCUCCCCAGAGCUCGAUGCCAGCGGUAGAACAACUGGUUGCGGUUCACCGCAUGUGGGUGUUGGUGGCAUCACACCGGAAGUAUGUGGUGCCGCACACGUGGGUGGACGCUAGCUCACAAUUCAAGUAGGAGGCGACUCUGCUUGGAAAAAAAUUCAGUCCCUCCCCACUCCCUCUCCAUUAUGUUCCAUGCCUGAUUUUGUUUUAUCUAAUAAGUUGUAACUCUUCAUUUUCCUGACUCUAUACUUGUUACAUGGUGUGGGAACUCAUUCAGCCAAUAGCCUUUGAUAUACCUGUCCCUUUGGGGCGGAGUCUCAGGUGCUACUUGGGGCCCGGGACCACCACGUGUGGUGGUUACAAAUCAGAGUGCAACACUCUGCUUCUCCAGAGCAGAAGACCUCAGUGUCUGUCUUCCUUCAUUGGCUGAGUGUUUCUCAAAUAAAUACUUGAUAUUCUUUUA